UGCGGAGUGGAGGAGUGGCUACCUCGCUGGCCUCAUAAGCCAGAGAUCACGGGUUCGAGUCCCGUCUCCGCUA
rnacentral:tRNA from 1 species